AUCCAGACAAGUGUAACAUCAUGAAUAUAACAACAAAAAGAAAUCCCAUCCACUUUUAUUAUAACAUGUAUGGACACAUCUUAGAAUCUGUAAAACAUGCAAAAUACUUAGGUAUCACCAUCUCAGCAGACCUAAAAUGGAACACCCACAUCCAACAAACUGCUGCAAAAGCAAAUAAAUCCUUAGGUUUCAUCAGAAGAAACCUUAAAGUCCAAUCGCAAACAGUUAAAGAAAGAGCAUACCAAACACUCAUAAGACCAAAGUUAGAAUACUGUUGUACUGUAUGGGACCCAUUUACAAACGAAAAUAUAAAAUCACUAGAAAAAGUACAGAGACGGGAAAUAAGGUAUGUGUGCAAUAGACAUCACAACACCAGCAGUGUGUCUGAGAUGCUAGACACCAUGAAAUGGCAAACCUUACAAGAACGCCGACUACGAACAAGGCUUAUAAUGUUCCACAAAAUUGUAAAUGAAAAUAUAGCCAUUCCAUCGCAUAAUGUAUUACAACAGAGUCAGUCUACUACAAGAUCCACCAAUAAAGAAUCCUACAGACAAAUUCAAUGAAAUAAAGACAGCUAUAAAUUUUCUUUUUUUUUUGUCAAACCAUCAAAGACUGGAACAAACUAUUUUUGAAAUUACUAAAAACACUACUACAGAAAACUUCAAGGGUGCACUCACACACGAUGUGCUCCUUGAUACUUACCCUCAUCUGAAAUAAACAGAUACUCUUGUUUUUAUCUUAUACCAAAAAAUAAAAAUAAAAAAUGUAAUAUUUAAAACUUAAAUAAAAAUUGUAUAAAUUAAAAACAAAGAAAAAUUGUAAAAAUUGAAAAUACGAAAAUAUAUGACCAAAAACAACUUUGAACAAGAAAUAUUUUGUUAAUCUAUGUUUUGACAAAA
rnacentral:lncRNA from 1 species